GAUGAACGCUGGCGGCGUGCCUAAUACAUGCAAGUCGAGCGAACGGACGAGAAGCUUGCUCCUCUGACGUUAGCGGCGGACGGGUGAGUAACACGUGGAUAACCUACCUAUAAGACUGGGAUAACUUCGGGAAACCGGAGCUAAUACCGGAUCAUAUAUUGAACCGCAUGGUUCAAUAGUGAAAGACGGUUUUGCUGUCACUUAUAGAUGGAUCCGCGCCGCAUUAGCUAGUUGGUAAGGUAACGGCUUACCAAGGCGACGAUGCGUAGCCGACCUGAGAGGGUGAUCGGCCACACUGGAACUGAGACACGGUCCAGACUCCUACGGGAGGCAGCAGUAGGGAAUCUUCCGCAAUGGGCGAAAGCCUGACGGAGCAACGCCGCGUGAGUGAUGAAGGUCUUCGGAUCGUAAAACCCUGUUAUUAGGGAAGAACAAAUGUGUAAGUAACUAUGCACGUCUUGACGGUACCUAAUCAGAAAGCCACGGCUAACUACGUG
rnacentral:rRNA from 1 species